UGUAUAUAUCUCCUCAAAAACCAAAACCUUAUCUGUUGGGGCCAAUAAAAAGAACUCCCAACCAGAACAUGGUCUCUGCGUUCUCGCAAACCAACCAUGUAGGAAGAAGGAAGCCAUGGAAGAAACCUUCCAUUUCUCUCACAGCAAUGGCCUCCGACGCAUUCCCAGACCCUAUUUUCCCUUCUCCAACCUUCAAUUCUCCUCUGUUUCCCGAACAAUGCCUCUUCACUGUCGCAUUCUCUGCUCCAAAACUUCAAUAUCCCUCCCCAACAAGCCCUCCAAAACCCCCAAACUUCCUUCCUUAUCCCCUGAACCCCAAUCUGACACCGACCCCAACUCUCAGUUCCGAGAGAAAGUUUUCUACUUGGAGUCCAUCGGCAUUGACCUCUUCUCCCUCGUCGACCACUACCCUCCGAUCGUCUCCACAUCUCUCGAAAACAUCAAAUCCACUGUCGAUUUCAUGCGCUCUAUGGGUUUCACUCCGCCUGAGUUCCGUCGAAUCUGUGGUAUGUGCCCGGAGAUUCUGAAUUCCAGGGUUUCAGACAUAAUUCCUGUCUUCACAUUCCUACUCAGAGAAGCCAAUGUGAAGGGCACUUCUCUCUGCAGAGUCAUAAAUAGACGGCCCAGAUUGCUCGUCUGCGACGUCGAGAAGCGGCUCCGUCCGACCCUUUACUUCCUUCAAGGGAUUGGUAUAGCAGAGGUCAAUAAGCACACUUCGUUGUUAUCUUGUAGUGUUGAGGACAAGUUCAUUCCGAGGAUCGAAUACUUGGAGAACAUUGGGUUUUCUUAUAAAGACGCCAUUUCUAUGGUGAAGAGGUUUCCGCAGCUGUUGUGUUACAGUAUCAGAGGCAAUUUCGAGCCAAAAUUUGAUUAUUUUAUGGUAGAAAUGGGGAGAGAUUUGAAGGAAUUGAAGGAGUUUCCGCACUAUUUCUCGUUUAGUUUGCAGAAUAGGAUAAAACCAAGGCACAGGUCUUGUGUGGAGAAAGGGGUUUUCUUUCCUCUUCCUAUGAUGUUAAAGACCAACGAGAAACAGUUUCGUGAUAGAUUAGAGCCCUUGAAGCGGAAGAAUGAAAUAGAAGACUUUGAAGCUGAGUCUAGUGAGUGGACUACGAGUCCUGGAUACAUUGAAGUGGUCAACAGCCCCAUCCGCACACCUGUAUCAGGAAAAGGGGGCAAGACACAUAACAAAUCAAAAGUCUCGAAACAAAGUAGAGCUGGGCCUCAAACUCCUGUGUCAAAUGCUGGUUCUCCUGGCAAUACUCUCACUCCAGUUGGUACUUGCCGCUAUGACAGUUCUCUAGGUCUCUUAACAAAGAAGUUUAGAGAUUUGUUAACAAGUGCAGAAGAUGGAAUUCUUGAUCUAAAUAAAGCUGCUGACACUCUGGAAGUACAGAAGAGGAGGAUAUAUGACAUAACAAAUGUCUUGGAAGGAAUCGGGCUUAUAGAGAAGAAGCUAAAGAACAGAAUACGUUGGAUGGGACUUGAUGUCUCAAGACCAGGGGAGGUUGAUGAUGAUGUUAAUAUUUUACAGGCAGAAGUUGAAAACCUUUCCGCAGAAGAACAUAGAUUAGAUGAUCGAAUAAGAGAAAUGCAAGAAAAAUUGAGAGACCUCAGUGAGGAUGAAAACAAUCAAAAGUGGCUUUUUGUAACUGAAGAAGACAUCAAAGGCCUACCCUGCUUCCAGAAUGAGACCUUGAUAGCAAUUAAAGCUCCACAUGGAACUACUAUGGAAGUCCCUGAUCCUGAUGAGGCAGUUGAUUAUCCUCAAAGGAGAUAUAGAAUUGUACUCAGAAGCACCAUGGGUCAUAUUGAUGUUUACCUUGUCAGUCAAUUUGAAGAGAAGUUUGAGGAGAUGAAUGGUGUUGAGGAACCUCCAAGUCUCCCAAUUGCAUUAACUUCAGGUUCCAAUGAGAAUACUGUAGCAACAAUGGUCACUGAAGAGAGCAGAGGGAAAGAGAGAGAGCUGCAGGGACAAGAUGUGCAUAUGAUGUGCUCAGAUCUGAAUUCUUCGCAAGACUUUGUAGGUGGUAUCAUGAAGAUUGUACCCUCAGAUGUUGAUAGUGAUGCAGAUUACUGGCUUCUAUCAGAUGUUGGAGUUAGCAUCACAGACAUGUGGAAGACGGACCCUGGUGUAGAAUGGGAUGGUGUGGAUACACUUAAUGCGGAUGAUUUUGUGAUGGUUGAUGUCAGCACACCACGGUUGCAAACUCCUCCAUCUGGUGUUCUAGAAGUGCCAUCUAAUGUUAACUCCAAUUAGAGAUGGUUGGGUUUGGCUGAUGGACUUGAUCAACCUCUUUUGUAUGGCAUCAGUGCCUCUAAAACCGAUCCACCUCCCGUAUUUUAUCGAUUCAACCAGAGGUGGAAUUGAAUGCUGUAGACGAGAUGAUGACAACUGCAUGAUCCCAUGAGAAAUUGCUGGAAGAGGCCAUGGGGAGAGUUCAUCGACCUUGGUUUAGGAUGGUCAUUGCAAAUGACAAGCACACAUCCAUUCCGUCAGUGAUGGCAGAUUUGUGGUUCACACUUCACAGCAUCAGACUCAUGUCAUUGCGCUUACAUCAGGACCUGGUGGAUGCCUGGAUGGUGGGACUGUCUCAGCAUGGCAUGUGUGCAUGGUUUAUUUGGAAAAAUUUUUGCCGCUACCUCGGUUGCAGGAAGUGGAAUAAUUCACUUCACCUUUGGGUUCAUUAAUACCCUCCUAGGUUUUAGCAUGUUGGGAGCAUGCAUCUUGGUCUGCAGAGUCAAGCUUUAAGCUGAGCAUGAUCUUCUGAGUUGGCCUGGUAAAGAGGAUCCAUAUUCAAUUCAUUACAUUGAGGCUGAUAUGAUUAAUCCAUAAGCACAAAUGCACAACUACUCCAAAUUCAUCCGUUUUUGCUUUCAAGUUUUAUAUCUGAUUUGAAGUUUUCCUAUUCAACUUGGAAUGGAUCUUAUUAAACU